GACGUAGGGCGCGAGCGUUGUCCGGAUUUAUUGGGCGUAAAGAGCGUGUAGGCGGCCAGAUAGGUCAGCUGUGAAAACUCGAGGCUCAACCUCGAGACGCCGGUUGAAACCAUCUGGCUAGAGUCCGGAAGAGGAGAGUGGAAUUCCUGGUGUAGCGGUGAAAUGCGCAGAUAUCAGGAAGAACACCCGUGGCUAAGGCGGCUCUCUGGAACGGUACUGACGCUGAGGCGCGAAAGCGUGGGGAGCAAACAGG
rnacentral:rRNA from 1 species